rnacentral:lncRNA from 1 species
UUUUUUUUUUGUUAAGCGGAUGCAUAUUAUAAUUAAAACAAACUAUCCGUGGGGGUUUACAAAAGAGUGUUUGUGGGUGGGUAUGUGAUACCCCCUCUAGCAUGCUACUGAUAUCACUAUUACAGUGUUUUCCUUUCAAACGCAGGUCCUGCGAUGUUUGCCCAAAAGACAUGAUUGACAAACAUCGGAGGAACUGUUGUUACAAAUACAUCUUCAAUUUUUUUUUUCCUUGCCCCUUCCUUCGCCAGCAUGUCAACAACUUUGUUGGUCUCUCUGUAACUGUGCUUCACCACCACGGCGCCUAGCAUUUGGACGAUUGACCUGCAUUCAUGAAUAAGUAAGUCAAAAUAGAGGUUCCCCUUAAUUAGCAUUCUAAUUACCUCUGUUGAGUGAGUGUUUAUUUCCAAGGGAGUGAAUUGUCUUUCUUCUACGAUUUGCAGACCUUUAAGGAGAGCUAGUAGUUCUGUUUGGGUGUUAGUGGUGUGUUGGAUUGAGCCCAUAUAGCCCAAUAUCCAGUUUUCAUUUGCAUUUCUGAAGACUCCCCCUAGUCCUCCCUUUUCCGGAUUCCCUGUUGCAGCUCCAUCAGUGUUAAGCUUGUAGGAGUUGUUGUUUGGCGGCUCCCAUUUUACCCAGAUAUUUUUCAUAUUUUUGGGUUCUUUAUCCAGCAUCAUUAUAGCAUAUUCAGUGGCCUUUGCUAUUGCACAUUUUGAGUCUGCCCUAUCUUUUCUGUUAUUGAAGAGGUUAUUAUUCCUUGUUAGCCAUAUUUGCCAAAAACAGAAAGGGAUGAGCUCUUCCCAAGUAAUGAUGCUGUUGUAGGCUUUUUUCUUUAGAGAUGCCCAAGUGGUUGGCCAAUCUGUGUAUGUGAACAUAGGGAUAAAAGUAUUUGUUUCCGUAUUGCUUUGGGAGAUGAUGUCUUGCCAGAAAGUAUGUGAAAUGGUACAUUCAAAGAAGAUGUGUACUGAUGUUUCAUUGGCCUGACUGCAUUGGUGGCAACUGGGGUUUGAUUGUACCCCAACAUAAUAUAGGUAGGCUCCAGUGGGGAGCCUUUCAUGGAAAAGCAACCAGAAGAAGGAUUGGAUUUUUUGGGUACUUUUAAUUUCCAAAUCCAUGUGUAAUUGUGGGUCAUGGUUUCCUGUCCUUGGUCCAAUAUUGAAUAGGCAGAUUUUGUGGAGUAGAGACCAUUUGGUGUGGCUCCCCAUAUCAUUCUAUCUUUGUUGACUGGGUUGGAUGGAAUGAAAGUGUUGUGGAUGGAGUUUUGGAUAUUUUGGGGGAUGGUGAGAGAGAGAGAGAGUAGAGAGGUCCCAAACUCCAUUUUGAUGGACAUUUGCAACUGUUUUGGACAUGUCUUCUCUUGUCAGAGGACCUUGAAUUAGGGACCUUAUAGCAGGGAGGUUAUUUAUCCAAGGGUCAUUAAAGAAACUAACUCUGUUUCCUGUAUGAACUACCCAUCUUUUUGCUUGCAUGCAUGUUUCCCAUUCUUUUAGGAUGCAUUUCUAGGUGUGGGACUUUGCUUUUUUUGGGAGGGUUCCUCCAAUUGCAGUGUUUAGCAAUAAGAGUUUUUGCCCAAAGGGUUGUGGGGUUUUUAGUAUAGCCUCCAAGUAAGGCCUGAGUGCUGAGCUUUAUUUUUUAAUUCAGCUUUCUGAAUCCCCAGUACCCCAUUAUCCUUAGACUUUGUAACUGUGUCCCAAGAUAUCAGGUGUAUUUUCUUCUUAGUAGCAGUGGUGCUCCAGAUGAAGUUCCUCUGAACUUUAUCAUUUUUUGUUUGUUUUUGCUGGCAGUUUGAUGUAUUGCAUGACAUGAUUAGGGAUUGAGUUUAGUGAUGCUUUUGCCAGAGUGGUCCUUCCAGACAUGUUAAGCAUGCCUGUUUUCCAACCAGCCAUUUUUGAGUGGAGAUGAUCAAUAAUGAAUUGAAAAUCACUGUGAGUGGGUCUUUUGUGGAAAAUAGGGAACCCCGUGUACUUCCCAAAGUUUGUUGAUGCUUUUAUGGAGAGAGUGUUUGAGAUGAGCUCCAUUUGAUGAGGUUGGCAGUUAGCACUGAAGCAUACUUUGGACUUGUUGAGAAUGAUCUUUUGCCCGGAUGCUAGAUUAAAGGAAUUAAGGGUAUUCAUGAUUGUGUUGCAACUUGAGAGGUUUGCAGUUGCAAAGAGAGUUAAGUCAUCAGCAAAGAAGAGAUGGGAUAUUUAGGGCCACUUCUGCUAAUGCUGAUUGGGUGCCAUUCCCUUUGGGUGACAUUAUUGUCAAUGGCUCUUGAAAGCCUUUCCAUACACAUGAUGCACAUGUAUAAGGGAGGAGGUCACCCUGCCUAAUGACCCUGGUGGGCAUGAAAGGGGUAGUUUGCUCUCCAUUGACAAUUAUAGAGAUGGUGGAGGAACUAAUUCAUGACAUGAUGAGAUUGAUGAUUGUGUUCGGGAAUUUGAAACCAUGGAGGGUUUGCUUAAUAAAAGACCAUUCAAGUCUAUCAAAAGCCUUCUCCAGGUCAAUUUUAAAGAUCAUGUUACUGGAUUUUCCCAAAGUGGGAGAUGUACUCUUGGACUAUGAUGGCAUUAUUUGAAGCUUUCCUAUUGGAGAGGAAGCUGGCCUGGCUAAGCCCAAUGAUGUAGGGGAGGUAAGCCUUGAUCCUAUUGACAAUGAUUUUUGUUACUGUCUUGUAGACAGUGUUGCAUAAGCCUAUGAGUCUGAAGUUUUUGAUCAUUAUGGCUUGAGGGCAUCUUGGAAUGAGGCAUAUAAGGGUUUCAUUCAUGACUGGGUCUAUAGUUGAUGUGGAAAAACAGUUUUUGUAGAAAAGAGUGACAUCUUUACCCACUAUGUCCUAGUAUUUUUGGUAGAAGAAAGGGUGAAGGCUAUCUGGCCCAGGAGCUUUGAAUGGUUUGAAGGAGAAGAUGACAUUCUUAAUUUCACUAUCCCUUAGAGGCAUUCCAAUUGUUGUUUGCUGAGUCUGGGAGAGGCAGUGCCCUUGGAUUUUAGUGGAAGAUAAACAAUUCUGAGAAUAUGGGAGGGAGGAGGUAUAGAGUUCUUGGAAGAACUUUGAGAUUGUCUGCUUGAUAUCCCCUUCCUCAAACAUCCACUGACCAAAGUCAUUUUGGAGGGAAAUGAUUUUGUUCCUCCUUCUUCUAUUUAGGGUGGAUGUAUGGAAAAAUUUAAUGUUGGCAUCUCCAUCAGAGAGCCAUUGGAUUCUGGACUUCAUCUUCCAAAAAUCUUCUUCAAUUUUUAAGAUUGAGUUAAGCUCCUCAAUGAGGUUAUUUUCCAGGAUUUAUAAAGGGGUGCUGGUGGGAUAUAUGAUAGAUUUCUGGAUUCCUACUAUCCUUGCUAGCAACCUUUUUUUGUGGAAGAUGUUUUCAAAUAUAUGCCCAUUCCAAUUGAGAGCAUUAACCUUGAAUAAAGAGGUGGAAAGGAUUAGAGUAGAGUCAGGCUUGAAAGAGUCCCUCACUAGGUUUUGAAAUAUAGGGUGGCUACACCACAUUGAUUCAAACCUGAAAGGUUUAUUGGUGGGACUAGGAUUGGUAUUACUUAGAUUGACAAGCAUAGGACAGUGAUCAGACUGGGUCCUAGGAAGAUGAGUGAUGUUUGCUUCAAGUUACUCUUUUAACCAUUGGUUAUUAGCCAAACAUCUGUCAAUUCUUUCAAGUAUUAGAUAGGUUGUGUUUUUGUACCUCUUAUUGGACCAAGUAUACUUGCUACCUUUAAACCCUAGGUCUAUAAGAUGACAGUUGUUAAUGCAAUUCUAGAAGGAGUUGCUUCUGUGGGUGUUUAUAGGGUUGCCCCCAAAUUUUUCUUCUGCUUUAAGGACUUCAUUAAAGUCCCCACCCACAAACCAACUUCCUUUGUGUGUUUUUGAGAUGUCAACAAGACUAUCCUAGAGUCCUUUUCUAUCCUCAAAGUGGUUACUGGCAUAAAUUGCAGAAAAACAACCAGGUGGGUUUGAGGGUAAUACCUUGACCAUGGCAAGGAUACCCUGAGAGUUGACAGCUACCUCAUCAACUUGGAGGGAAUUUUCCCUCCACAUAAUCACUAUGCCUCCAGAGUGGCCAAUAGUAGGGAACUGAAUGUGCAUGUCGAAUUGAAGCUCUUCAGUAAGCUUUUUGUGGUCUGCCAUUUUGGUCUCUAAGAGAACCAACAUCAUAGGCUUGUGCAUCUUGACCAUUUCAGAGCAGUGCCGCUUAAACUCCACACUGUUUGCUCCUCUAACAUUCCAUAUUAUGAAAUUCAUUAGAGGGUUCAGCGUUGGAGGGCUGGUGCUCAUUGAUGCUUUCUCCCUGCCCUGGGGUUGCAUCACAUCUCGUCCCCUGUGUUGAGAUUGUUGGGAUUUUAUCACUGGGGUUAGGGUUAGUAGAAGUUUGAGAGUACCUUGGUUCAGGUGAGAUGAGAAGUCCAAUCCGUAACGAACUAGAUUCUUUGGGCACAGUAAGAUCAGUGUCUCGCUGUGGUCCACACUGAAUUCCACCGCCCUUACUGCUUCCAUCCACAGUGAGUCCACUUUCACUAGAUUGCCGAUUGGUGUUGCUUCGUGGUCCAUUGGCGCCUCGUUGUUCCUCAGUAUCUCUAUUUUGGAAAGAAAGGAUUUUGUUCCUCCUCCUUCUAUUUAGGGUGGAUGUAUGGAAGAAUUUAAUGUUGGCAUCUCCAUCAGAGAGCCAUUGGAUUCUGGACUUCAUCUUCCAAAAAAUCUUCUUCAUUUUUUAAGAUUGAGUUAAACUCCUCAAUGAGGUUGUUUUCUAGGAUUUGUAAAGGGGUGUUGGUGGGAUAGAUGAUGGAUUUCUGGAUUCUUGCUAUCUUUGCUAGCAACCUUUUUUUUGUGGAAGAUGUUUUCAAAGAUAUGCCUAUUCCAAUUGAGAGCAUUAACCUUGAACAAUAAGGUGGAAGGGAUUAGAGUAGAGUCAGGCUUGAAAGAGUCCCUCACUAGGUUUUGAAACAUGGGGUGGCUGCACCACAUUGAUUCAAACUUGAAAGGUUUAUUGGUGGGACUACGAUUGGUAUUACUUAGAUUGACAAGCAUAUGGUAGUGAUCAGACUGGGUCCUAGGAAGGUGAGUGAUGUUUGCUUUAGGGUACUCUUUUAACCAAUGGUUAUUAGCCAAACAUCUGUCAAUUCUUUCAAGUAUAAGAUAGGUUUUGUUUUUGUACCUCUUAUUGGACCAAGUAUACUUGCUACCUUUAAACCCUAGGUCUAUAAGAUGACAAUUGUUAAUGCAUUUCCAGAAGGAGUUGCUUCUGUGGGUGUUUAUAGGGUUGCCUCCAAAUUUUUCUUCUGCUUUAAGGACUUCAUUAAAGUCCCCACCCACAAACCAACUUCCUUUGUGUGUUUUUGAGAUGUCAACAAGACUAUCCCAGAGUCCUCUUCUAUCCUCAAAGUGGUUACUGGCAUAAAUUGCAGAAAAACAACCAGGGUGGGUUUGAGGAUAAUACCUUGACCAUGGCAAGGAUACCCUAAGAGUUUACAACUACCUCAUCAACUUGGAGGGAAUUUUCCCUCCACAUAAUCACUAUACCUCCAGAGUGGCCAAUAGUAGGGAACUGAUUGUGCAUGUCGAAUUGAAGCUCCUCAGUAAGCUUUUUGUGGUUUGCCAUUUUGGUCUCUAAGAGAACCAACAUCAUAGGCUUGUGCAUCUUGACCAUUUCAGAGCAGUGCCACUUAAACUCCACACUGUUUGCUUAUCUAACAUUCCAUAUUAUGAAAUUCAUUAGAGGGUUCAGCGUUGGAGAGCUGGUGCUCGUUGAUGCUCUCUCGCUGCCCUGGGGUUGCAUCGCAUCUCGUCCCCUGUGUUGAGAUUGUUGGGAUCUCAUCACUGGGGUUAGGGUUAGUAGAAGUUUGAGAGUACCUUGGUUUAGGUGAGAUGAGAAGUCCAAUCCGUAACGAACUAGAUUCUUUGGGCACAGUAAGAUCAAUGUCUCGCUGUGGUCCACACUGAAUUUCACCGCCCUUACUGCUUCCAUCCACAGAGAGUCUACUCUCACUAGAUUGUCGAUUGGUAUUGCUUUGUGGUCCAUUGGCGCCUCGUUGUUCCUCAGUAUCUCCAGGGCUAUUGAAAUUCCUUUGGAGAUGUUCCUCAAAGGCGAUUGAGGUGGUUGUUGCUGGGGUGGUUGUGGCCGCUUCUCCUGCUUUGAAGGUGAAGUUUUCUGGGUUGAUUCCGGCAUGAAUAUUUUGAACUAAGGUAUUGCAUAGAGAUCCUCUACUGUGAGAUCUAGGAAGAAUGGGAUACUGUUGAAGAUCUGUUGAAUCUUGUCUUGGAUAGACAAGUCGCUGUUGAUGUUCAUGUUGGCUGGGUGGGUCUGCUCUAUGACUGACUGCCACAUUUGAGCUCCAAGCAUCUCCAAGCCCCUGCUGGGUUCUGAAUGAUUAGGGAGAUUUGUUGCUCGCCUAAUUGAGAAUCGUUGCUUAGGGCUUGUCCAUGGAGUGCCAACUCUAGCCAUGAUGUUGGUAGGUGGUCCGGUGGUGGUAGGGUGGAGGUUAGGAAGGUUGGGGGGGUGAGGAUUUGGUUCUAAUUUUGGGUUUCUUGUUCCUAUCCGUUUUUGGGUUGGUAAUACAUGAUGGAAUAUUGGGGUAAUCAAGCGUUUCUGACGAUUGUGAAUUGGGAUCAAUAAUCAUGUUUAUUAUGUUGGGGUUUGUGUCUAACACGCUGGGAAUGAGGUUAAUUUGAUAUCCGGUUGAGUUGAUGGGUUCUGUCAAAUCACUGGAGAUUUCUUGAUUAUAUUGCUUUGGCUCUUGAUCUUUCAUGGAGGGAUUUUCUCCAGUUGGUGUUGGUAGGGGAGAUGUAGUGUUGUAGUGGUUAUCAUCGUGGUCUACCAUGGGGUCUAUUUUCCCCGAGGUGUAUGGUGGCCCAGUCUACCAUUUUUGGCUUUCCUCUUGGUUUUUGGGCUGUGUUGACUUUGGUUGUAGGGUAGUGUCCAUUUGGUUUGGGUUAGUGGUCAUGGGGGCCGUCUUUGCUUUUGUUUGAGUCAUGGCCCCAGAUUGUAGUUUGUGUGCAUUUGGCCAUUCCCUGGGUUCGCUUUCCGUUUAACACUUGUGUUGGGCCGUUUUCUUCUGGGCUGCCCAGUUGUAUUUUGUUGUUUAACUUGUGGUCCUCUUGUGAAAGUGGGUUGGAUCCGGUCCGUUUCGUGUAACGUAUUAGAUUUAUUGGUGUAAUGGAAAGUUUGUGUUUCAAGAAACUUACUGGAUGUAGCAUCGAACAUUUUCACUUUGAUGCCUUCUAGCUUUGUUGAUGGUUUAUCCUUUUUAGUCCUGUCCUUAGCUUUAUUUUGCUUUGUGUUGAACUCUUUCUUACGCCUUCUGGGGUAGGAGACCACUUUCCAUUCCUCUUCUUUCUCCUUGUUUGGUAUAUGGCCUGGAACAUCAUUUUGCUUAGUAUUUGAGCACUCUGGGCUGUCUUGGUUUUGUGGUUGUUGUUGUCUUUGUCUGUGUAGGCAUUCUUUCAAGAUGUUCCCUAUCCUUUUACAACCAGUGCAUAGAACAUUUUCUCCUUCAUAGAGUACCAACUAUUUGUGGUCCUCUAUUGUGACUGAGGUAGCAACUGGUGUUUCCAAGGGUACCUGUAUGCAUAUCCUUGCAUAUCUUCCUCUGAGAGUGACUGAGGUGCAUAUAUCAAUUUUUAGGAGUUUUUCUAGUUCCCUGCCCACUUUUUCUAGGAGUUCCUUAUCAUAAAACUCGGUGGGUAGUUGUGGUAGUCUUACCCAAAUUGCAGUGAAGGAUAGAGUUGCUUCCUGUGGGACAAAUUUGGGUUCCCAUCUUCUUACUGAGAGGAAAUUCCCUGAUAUGAACCAUGGUCCUUUUUGUAUAGAUUUCACUAGAUUCUCCUCUUUACUAAAUUUGACUAUGAAAAAAUCCCAUCCUAGGUCAAUCAAGAUUAACUGUUCGGAUGAGUUCCAUAAAUCAACUAGUUUAGAUCGGAGAAGGUAGUGUGACAUUUUUUUCCCAAACAGCUUUAUGAUAAAUGAGUAACGCCAUGGUUCAUAGAGCCUGCUUUUAUCCUCUUGAGAGAGUAUUAUAGGACCUAUUGUUUCCUUGCCUUUUUCUUGUAUUAAGGUGGAUUGAAUUUCUAUAGUGAAGUAGUUCGCUUGUGUAGUGCUUUACUUAUCAAGUAGCAUUUUCUUGCAGGAGUGGGAUUGGGUUGCUUCUUCUUCUUCCAUGACAGUGUCGUCCGGUGGUUCCGGUGGUAUGUUGGAUGAUUUGAGUGGGUUUUCCGUUGGUUGUUUGUAGUGAUGGAUGAGAGUUUCUCUCACUUGUUGUAGACGGAAUUAUAUAUUUUAGUCCUAAAUUCUCGACUAUUGGUACUAGUAUUGUCAUUAUUAUUAUUAAAGAAAUUAAGGAUUAGUAGUGAAUGAUCAUGCGAUGAAUGACUUUAUGUCACUUUCUUUUAAAACCCCAGUUUGCACAUGAAAAAGG